GUUUUAAAAAUGUGUGGCGUGACCCUGCCAACCAACCAAGAUGGCCACCAUGGCUAAAAAUAGUACAUAGGGGUGAAAUGUAGAUUUUGGCUUAUAUCUCUGAAACCAAAGCAUUUAGAGCAAAUCUGACAGGGGAUAAAUUGUUUCUCAGGUCAAGAUCUAUCUGCCCUGAAAUUUUCAGACAAAACAGACAACCUGUUGUUGGGUUGCUGCCCCAG
rnacentral:lncRNA from 1 species